CAAUAGCGUAUAUUAAAGUUGUUGCAGUUAAAAAGCUCGUAGUUGGAUUUCUGGUGGGAGCGAUCGGUCUGGCGCUUAGCGCGAGUACUUGCAUCGUCUCCGGCCAUCCUUGGGGAGAGUCUGUCUGGCAUUAGGUUGUCGGGCAGAGGAUCCUCAUCGUUUACUGUGAAAAAAUUAGAGUGUUCAAAGCAGGCUUAUGCCGUUGAAUAUAUUAGCAUGGAAUAAUAAGAUAGGACUUUGGUACUAUUUUGUUGGUUUGCGCACCAAAGUAAUGAUUAAUAGGGACAGUUGGGGGUAUUCGUAUUCCGUUGUCAGAGGUGAAAUUCUUGGAUUUACGGAAGACGAACUACUGCGAAAGCAUUUACCAAGGAUGUUUUCCUUAA
rnacentral:rRNA from 1 species